GGAUGUGAGGGUGAUCUGACUGCAACAUCUGUCACCCCACCAAUUGUCAGAGUUCAUUUGGCUGGGGGUGACUGCCAGGGUUGAUUUGGCUGACCUGGCUGGCUAGGCGCGUGUCCCCUUCCUCCCUCACCACUCCACGUGUGUCCCUCCCAAAGCUGUGUGCUUGGUCAAUGAGGACAACCACCCCCAACAGAGGAGGACCGGUCUUCGGUCAAGGGUAUACAAGUAGCUGGGCUCCCCUGUUAGAACCUUCAAACAAGCUCUCAAGAACGUGGAAAAUCUGAAACUCACAUUGCUGGUUGCUGGAAGGAAUAUAAAAUGCUGCAAACACUUUAAAAAGCAUUUUGGCAGUUU
rnacentral:snRNA from 1 species